rnacentral:lncRNA from 1 species
CCAAAUUCUAACACAGUUUGUCCAUCACUAGCCUCACUUGGGGUUUAGGACACUAGAAAGAAACGAAUUGUAGUAGCACAUGAAGUUGCAAAACUCGGCAGUUAUUUCAACUUGGAAGAAAGCCUGACUUCUUUGCAUAAAGAACCUAACUCACCUGAAGUUAUUGCUAGUGCUAGAAUAGGUUGGUCUAAAUUUAUCAAACAUAGGAUUCUGGCAAGCAAUAGAAACUCAAGUUUGUGUUAGGGAGCAGGGUAAAGGCGCCCUCGAUGAUGUCGCUGGGACAUCUACCGAUAGGAUCUACUUCAGCAACUCUUCUCCCAGUGGCUGCAAAACUCGGCCAUUACUUCUUACAUGUAAGAUGUAUUAUAGCUUCAACUAACAUUUUCUAAUGCCCUAAUUACAUAGAAAAAUGUUACUUAAAAUUGGUUUAUAUGAUUUGCAAAGUACUUUUCAGGCGGUGAGGUUUCCAGGCUUGAUGAUGUUUCCAAUUUUGGAAUGCUUCUACUGGAGUUAUUUACAGGCAAAAGAGAAGAAAGAACGUUGAAUCAAAGAAUUAAUUUUGCUGACGAAAAUAGGACUUUCUUGUACACUGUCAUUGUCGAGGAAUUGGAUGACAAUAAACACAAAUUGCAAGCAAUCAGAUACUUAUUUUAUAGAAUUAUGAAUAGAACACCAAGUAUAAGAUGAGUUUAUUACACAUGAAUGGGGAAAACGUUAUGCUCUACGAAGUGGAAUUUAGCCUCUGCAGACUGAAGUUGUUGUAGACUACGCUAGCGAAUUGGUGAUUCAGGAUUGAAGAGUCACAUUUAUAUACUUCAACUGAAGCCAUGAAGGGAAGGUUUUUACCAUUGUAAUACCUACUCUGCAAAGUAG